rnacentral:rRNA from 1 species
CUUAAAUUCGUUGGGGGGAGGAUCAGCUCAUAGCGUAUAUUAAAGUUGUUGUGGUUAAAAAGCUCGUAGUUGAACCUUGGGCCUGGCUGGCCGGUCCGCCUCACCGCGUGCACUGGUCCGGCCGGGCCUUUCCCUCUGUGGAACCCCAUGCCCUUCACUGGGCGUGGCGGGGAAACAGGACUUUUACUUUGAAAAAAUUAGAGUGUUUAAAGCAGGC